GACAAUAGAUGGCGUUGUACUUCUCGAG
rnacentral:sRNA from 1 species